ensembl:misc_RNA Metazoa_SRP Metazoan signal recognition particle RNA
GCUGGGCGUGGUGGCACGCACCUGUAAUCCCACCUACUUGGGAAGCUGAGACAGGAGAAUCGCUUGAACCCAGGAGAUGGAGGUUGCAGUGAGCCGCCACUGCACUCCAGCCUGGGUGACAGAGCGAGACUCUGUCUCAA